AAUUGUUUCACGCAUCAAGUUCUAUACGUUAUUAAAACUCUUAGUGCCUAAUUAAUUUUAAAGCUGUAUUGAGAAAUUCUCUAAUCUUACUUGGAAUUUUGAAUAAAAUUCCUGGAAAAUCCGGGAAUUUUCAGGGAAUUCUUUUACAAAAUUUGAGUACCCAUCCUGCUCUCGCCUAAAAUCUUUUCCAGCGUGCCGGAAAAAUGUGCUUCGCUACCUCCGAUCUUUAGGGAAGAUUACGUUUUCUAUGCGGAAGAGAUGUUAUAUAAUUCGCGUUUGCGCGUGUAUACGUAAACAGGCUUUUCCUGUUGCAAAUACUUAGUUUUUACGCUUUCUUCGCACGAAACCAAAUACUAGUGCUUUGCAAAAGGUUAGAGAGGGAAGAGGGAGAAAAAAAAUAGAGCAGACGUAGAACCGUGACGCGAAUAAACUAGCCGCAUAACUGAAUCCGAGGCUCUCCUGGACUAGAUCGCGUGGCGAAAGGACAAAAAUUUAGGAGACUCGAACGCACUAUAUUAAUUGCAAUUAAAAUAUGCUACAGCUUACUUUAUUAAUUGCUAAUAGAGUUAAUUGCAAGAGAAUAUUUAUUCAUGCGCGAUACAUGCCAGGGAACGUCUGAUUUUUGCGUAUUUAACGUUUGCUUUGUCCAAAAUCUGAAAAUUGUCAUUCCGUAUAUAAUUCAAAAUGCCGCACAUAAAAUGUUUGGUUAGACGCAAAACGUAAAACACGCGAAGCAAUCGAAACGCGAAAAUGUCAAAGAGACACGAGAUUAUAUCGUUAACUCUAUUGACGAGAUACAUUUCGAACGCUAAUGAUGUGAGAUUCGAACGAAGGAAGAGGCCGAAUUCGAAAACCUCCUCGGAUCAUCAAAAGAUAUUGCAGUAUCAAAUCGAUCGAUCGGGAUCGAUUAGAGAGUAAAGAGAAAGAGAGCAAUUGCAUUUGUGCGAGAAAAAAAUUGAUACAUGAGGCUACGAAGAGCUCUAAAAUGGAUGGACAUUAAACGUGUCAAACAACACCCUGCAUGCGAUAACGAGAGAAGAUGUUAUCAAGAGACGAGACAUGGGGAUAGACAUGAGAAAGAGAUUAUUAGAAAAAUAAUACGAAAUUAACGCAAACGAGAGACACAAAUGUCUGAGAGACGCCGAAAGGAAAUUCCCUCGUUUUUUCGUAGAAUUUUGAAUAAUUAUUAGAUCUCUGUGGUAUAUUGGAAAUACAAAAGUAAGCAGAGAGUACACUGAGUUUUGAUUUUCGAAACUACUUCUCCGCAUUCGAGUCGUUUUUACAAUAACAGGAUGGGGGAGAAGAGCGUAGUUUGAAAAAAUUCUCAGAAAAGAUCUGUCAAUUCUUUGCACAGUCAUUGAUCUGCCGUGACGAAAAACCGCGCGGAUGAAAUGCGAUUAUUAUUUACUUUUGAAGGAGGGAUUAUUAUUUAUACUUAUUUUUGAAGGAGAGUCGGGUGAAACGUCGCAAGCGUGUAAAAAGAGGUUUUUAAUCGUACGUUUUAUUGAUUGAAUCCCUUAAUAAUGCCGCAAAUGCGUUUCAAAUAAUUAUGAUUUUAUAUUUAUUUUUUAUUUCACAAUUCAAUUUUAUGAGUGUCGUCGUGUGUCCACAAUCAAACGCGUUUGCGAACGUUUCUGCUGAAUCCUCCUAAUUUCUCGUCGCGGAUUAUCACGACAGAAGAUCAAUAAGGACGAGCGUUCUCGAGUGAGGAAACCACAAGGUUCGCGUAAAAUUCUCCUUUAUAUCCUUGAAUACUUCCCAGAUCCUCGCAAUCGCGCAAUCGGGACUCGUUUCGCAAACGAUACAAAGAUUCGGAAAGACAUCUUUAAAGGGAGGUGGAACGUGUGAAAUAUUAGAAUUUAAAUAAUCCUAAAAUAGGAUUUAUAAAAUAGAAUCGAGAUGUUGAGAUCGAGAUCAUUCGGUCCUUCGGGCGUUCAACAAUGCCAUCCAACUCGUGUGUCAGUUCUAACUCAGAAGGGAGAGGCGAGGAUAGCGAGAUACAGAUUUGCCGUCGACGUGCUGGAAUUUUACAGGCGGUUCUAUAAAAAAAAAAAGAGAUAUACAAAAGAAGCGCUCAGGUCGCCCUACGCGCUACAUAUCCGCAUUAAAUGGCGCAUUUAUGCAGGCAUUUUUCAUUUAAACUCGUAAAACCGAUUUGCCAACCAAUCCUGCGACCCAUCCCCCAUGCACACCGCCGACCCGCGCCGUUAUUUAUGGUCCCUCGCAGACUCUCUUUCGAUAUACAUAUUAUAUAUAUAUAUAAAUAUAUAAAUAUAAGUAUAAUUACUAUAAGAUUGUAUAUUCUUAAUUAGAUGCAAUGUGCUGGUGUGCGCGCGCGCGGUCGCUGAGGUGAUUUAGAAAAUAAAAUAAAAACUAUACACACAGUUUCACACAUACACACACAUAGACACGUACACAACGCGAACAAAACACACAUUCACACACAGAAAUAAAGAUACGCACGGGGGGUUGCGGGCGAUGGUUUGCCAAUUUUUGCGAGGGGCUUUUACUUACAAACGGGCGACACCCGCGCGUCCUGCGUGUUCCGCAGUAAGGAGACCUCUGCCGCCUCCGGAAUCUUUUGUGUAUUAUUUCUAACAGAAUGUAAUAAAGUAAAGUAAAGUUUAAAACA